GGAUAAGUUACUAAGGGCAUAUGGCGGAUGCCUUGGUACGAGAAGCCGAUGAAGGACGCGACUACCUGCGAAAUGCUACGGAUAGGUGGAAAUAACCUAAGACCCGGUGAUCU
rnacentral:rRNA from 1 species